UACGGGGGGGGCAAGCGUUGUUCGGAAUUAUUGGGCGUAAAGGGUUCGUAGGCGGCCGGCUAAGUCAGACGUGAAAUCCCUCAGCUUAACUGGGGAACUGCGUCUGAGACUGGUCGGCUUGAGUGCAGGAGAGGAACGCGGAAUUCCAGGUGUAGCGGUGAAAUGCGCAGAUAUCAGGAGGAACACCAAUUGCGAAGGCAGCUCGCUGGGACGUUACUGACGCUGAGACGCGAAAGCGUGGGGAGCAAACAGG
rnacentral:rRNA from 1 species